UCAUGACCUGAGCUGAAGUCGGACGCUUAACCGACUGAGCCACCGAGGCGCCCCCUCCCAGAACUGUUUCUAAUGCUCAUUCAGUUCACUGGAAGAUUUUAGUGAGCUUCCGGAAAGGAAGCUGGGGACUCUCCCCUAUUGAUUGACUCAGCCCGGGGAAACCCGCCAGCUUCCCCAGGGAUGGGCAGCCCUCCAGGGUCUUCUCCUUGCCUGAGGUUGAGCACAAGCCCCUUUUGGGAGGCUGAACUUGGGUGAGACCCCAGGGCUCGGUGAUGGUAGGAAAAGGCACUGUGGGCUCCUCUGAGCUGCCCUUUGGGCCUUUCCUUGGAUUAAGAGGGUAGAAAGAGAAAAGAACUGGGAAGCUUGUGAGUGAGAUACUCCAGUGUCACCAACUACCAGGCUCCAGCAGACCCUUGUGACAUCCCUGGCUCCCUCUCUCUUCCCUCACUCAACCGGUUUCUGGAGGGUAAGGCUGAGGCCAGAGUGGAAGGGACUUUCCUGAGGUCACGAAGCAGGGUAGGCUGGAGAGUGACCCGGAGCAUUCCUGACCCACAGCAGGUGCAUGUGUCCACCUCAAUGCCCUUCCUCAAACCAGCUCUCAAGAAGGGCUUUGAGAUCUGCCCUGUCAUUGUGGUUUGGGGGACAUGCCCUGGGGUGGGCCGCUGGCCUGGGACGGUGAUCAGGAUGGGCAGAUCCCAGGCUAAGCUUCAGCCACGGAAAGACACAUCGGCUGAACUCUGCUUACAAAGAACAACGUGUCAGACUGAGCAGGUGUUGGGGACAGCCACGACCAGUUCCUGCUCUCAGAUCUUCCGCUCACUGGCUGCGUAGCCUGGGGACAGACACCAUCCACCUCUUUCCUUUCACAGCCCCAUCGAGCGGGUUUCAUUCACGCCAUUUUGGAGCUGAGGAGAUGCGUCCAGAGAGGUGGGGCGGUGGGGGUGUGAGGCUACGCGGCAAGGCGGCAGAAGCAGUGUGGAAACCCAGACAAAUCAAGGGACCCUGCAUGGUGUGCCAUGACUAGUUUCACUAAUGGGAGAAGGAUUUCAUCUUCUGAAGAGGUAUUUAGGAAGAACGUGCUGGAAAAGUGGGCUGGAGCCAUCUGUUCAUUUAUGCAUCCAUCAAACAUUUUUCAAGCACCUGCUCUGACGUGCCAGACCGUGACUGCGGUGCCGGAAUGAGAGUUGGGAUCCAAAUCGACAGCCUCCCUCUUCCCCUAGAGCUUACUCUGAGAACAGAGAUGGUAACUAAGUGCCUGACAUCAUUUCCAUCCAUGCUCAUGUUGUAAAUAAGACAAAACAGGAUGGCGAGCUAGCGAGUGGCCAGGUGAGGGAAGGUACUUUAGUUUCCUUGGAUUUGAAUUUCAGCGCCCCCUCCCCCCCCAAGACAACACGGAACCAUAGGUGUUCUCGUGAGCAAUGGCUCAGGAAUCGGAGAGCUGGUGAAGGCAAACACCAGGGAUAAAGUGGAGACGCGUUAUAAGCGGAGUGUGUCGGCGUCUGGGAGGGAGAGUGUAUCAGGAUGAGUUCAGCUGUAAGUAACCAAAUUUCUAACACGAGAGGCUUAAACAAUAGGGGGUUUGUUAGUUGGCUUGGUGGUUUGCACAGGUUGGAGGACUGAUCCAGGACAGGCUAAUUCAGGUAUGAUAACAAUGUCAAGGGCUGGGAACUUUCCAGUUUCUCCUCUGUCUUCCCCAAAGAGCUGGUUUUUGUCUCCAUGCUUGUCCCCACAUGACUGGUAGAUGGAUGGUUCCAGAAGCUCCAGGCUUGUGGCCUCAGACCCACACAAGUGGGCCUGCCUUCCCCCACUCUUUUUAUCGUGGAAGAAAGCCUUUCCCAGAAGUCUCCGAGGAGAGGAGACUUUAUUUCCCCUUGGCCGGGACUGUGUCACAUGCCCACACGUAAACCAAUCACUGCCAGAAAGAAUGAAAUGACCACGACAGAUGAAAUUAUUCAGGGUUCAUUUCCUGGGACUGUGCUGGGGCCGCCUUUCCUGGUCAGUCAGGAAACAGCUCAGUUCCUGGACAAAACUGGGGUCUGAUUGAUAGGAGGAAGACAGGUGACUGCUACUGGGGAGAGGCUGGCAGGCUCUGCUUCCGGUAGUGUGGGGGGGGGGUGGGUCAAAUGGGACGUUGUGCAAGGAGGGGUGUGCAACUUACAAGGCCCCCGCUGUGAUUCAGGGAAAGGAGGAAGAGAGGAAGGACAGAAGGAAGGAAGCACCGUCUCCGAGUGUCCCCCAUCUUUGGACGGCUCUGACAUGUCUCACGGGGGGACAGCAGGACCCUUUCCACAGUCAUCACUGUAUUACCGCCUCUGUUGCUCACAGCCUCCAUGGGGAGGAGAGUCGUGAUUUGAAGGGAUUAAAGCCUGAUGAGGGAAGUGACUCACUCAAGGUCUCUCUGUUAGUUGCUAGCAAGCGGCAGAGUCACGGCUUGGACCUAACCUUUCUGUCACCCAAACCCAACCUCUUUCUGCCACUCUCCACUACCCCCUGGAGUUAUUUUAAAAUUUUGAGUUUUUAUUUUUUAUUUUAUUAUUAUUAUUUUUUAAGUUAAUUUGUCUUGAG